ACGGAGGGUGCAAGCGUUAUCCGGAUUCACUGGGUUUAAAGGGUGCGUAGGCGGGUAGGUAAGUCUGUGGUGAAAUCCCCAAGCUUAACUUGGGAACUGCCAUGGAUACUAUUUAUCUUGAAUAUUGUGGAGGUGAGCGGAAUAUGUCAUGUAGCGGUGAAAUGCUUAGAUAUGACAUAGAACACCAAUUGCGAAGGCAGCCUGCUACACAAUUAUUGACGCUGAGGCACGAAAGCGUGGGGAUCAAACAGGA
rnacentral:rRNA from 1 species